AAGACACAUACCUGUGAUGGUUUCCCCUCAUCAUAAAGGGGAAUGAAAAGGGAACCGGGUGCGGGCAUUGCAAGCCUUAGUCCCGGGCUGUCCCCGCAACUGUAAGCGGUAUGCGAGAGCAUUUCCGGGCGCGCUGCGUCCGGCCCACUGGAGAUGAGUUUUCCGGGAAGGGGAGUGCUUUGGUGAGACGCCGCAAGCCAGGAGACCUGCCAUCCCGCAAGUGGUUGC
rnacentral:ncRNA from 2 species